ensembl:lncRNA
AAUUGGAAUUUUGAGGGGGAAAUGGAGAUUUUUGGGGAAAAUUUGUAAAUUUUUUCGGGGAAAAUGGGAAUUUUGAGAAAAAAACUGGAAUUUGGGGAAAAAAUGGGGAUUUUGGGGGGAAAAAUCGGGAUUUUAGGGGGAAAAAAGGGAUUUUUUUGAAGAAAAAUUUGAAUUUUUUUGGGUAAAAAAUGGGAGUUUUCGGAGGGAAAAUGGGAAUUUUUAGCAGAAAUUUUAAAUUUGUUUUUGGGGAAAAAUGGGGAUUUUGGGGAAAAAGGGGAUUUGGGAAAAAAAUGAGAUUUCUUUAAAAAAAUGGGGAUUUUGGGGGAAAAUGGGAAUUUUGGGGGGAAAUAUUGGAAUUUUCGGUGGAAAAUAGGAAUUUUUGGGGAAAAUUUGUGAAUUUCUUUUAGGAAAAUGGGAAUUUUUAGAAAUAACCUGGGAUUUGGGGAAAAAAUGGGGAUUUUUAGGUAAAAAAUGGGAAUUUUGGGGUCUAAAAAUUAGAAUUUUUUAAAGGAAAAAUUUGGGAAUAAUUUGGGAAUAUUUGAGUUAAAAAUGGGAAUUUUGGAAGAAAAAUUGUAAAUUUUUAAGGGGGAAAAUGUGAAUUUUUUAGGGGAAAUUAUGGAAUUUUUUUAAGAAAAUUUGUGAAUUUUUUUGGGGUGAAAAUUUGGGAAUUUCGGAUAAAAAUUCAGAAAUUUUUUCCUCCAUUUUGUCUCCCAGCCCAGCCCCGCCCCCUCCCCGCCGUGGCCCUGCCCCCGCUGCACCUUCCUGAACCGAGGCCCCGCCCCUUCCUGCCAGAUGUGCGGUGACGUCACUUCCGCCCAGGCCACGCCCACUCCCGGUAGUUUUUCCGCCACUUCCUGUUCGGAGAACGUCACUUCCUGUUCGGAAAAUUCCACUUCCUGUUUGGAAAAUUCCACUUCCGGUUUGGAAAAUCUUACUUCCGGUCUGGAAAAUUUAACUUUCGGGGCGGAGAAUGCGAAAUGUGGAGGUGAUGACGUCACUUCCGGGUCAGGCCACGCCCCCUCCCGUGAUGCUUUGCGGCAGAGGAAGUUGAUGGAGGACGGGCGGCGCCUGGUGGAGCUGGUCAGGGUCGCCGAAUCCCAGGGCCUCCCCCCGGAAUCUCUCGGCCCCGCCCCCUUUUCCCACCUUCCGGAACGUUCCGACCCCGAAUCCCAAAUCCGGCACUUCCGGGGCCGCCUCGGGGGGGUCCUCAAGGAGCUCCAGGGGGCGGAGCCUGACCCCAAAGGGGGCGGGGCCUCCCUCGGGCCGUUCUCAUUGGCCGAAGCCGCGUGGGCGUGGCUGGAGGGGGAGGGGCAGCCGGACCGCGCCCGCCGCGUUCUGAUUGGCCGGAGGAAGCAGCAGGUCAGAGGGGGCGGGGCUUAAAAUUUUUGGGGUAAAAUGGGGGAAUUUGGAUUCAAAAUGGCUGAAAUUGGGUUUAAAAUGGCGGAAUUUGUGUAAAAAAUGGCAGAAUUUGGGUCCAAAUGGCAGAAUUUAGUUAAAAAGUGGCGGAAUUUGGGUAAAAAAUGGUGGAAUUUGGUUCAAAAUGGUGGAAUUUGGUUCAAAAUGGCAGAAUUUGGUUCAAAAUGGCGGAAUUUGGGUAAAAAUGGCGGAAUUUGGGUCCAAAUGGCAGAAGUUGGUUAAAAAG